rnacentral:rRNA from 1 species
GCCCGCUCAGACACUCAAUGAAUUGACGGGGCCCGCACAAGCGGUGGAGCAUGUGGUUAAUUCGAUGAUACGCGAGGAACCUUACCUGGGCUCAAAUGUAUGUUGACGUAUUCUGAAAGGGAUACUUCUUCGGACAAUAUACAAGGUGCUGCAUGGUUGUCGUCAGCUCGUGCCGUGAGGUGUCGGGUUAAGUCCCAUAACGAGCGCAACCCCUAUCAUUAGUUGCCAUCAGGUAAUGCUGGGGACUCUAAAGGAACUGCCUACGCAAGUAGUGAGGAAGGCGGGGAUGACGUCAAAUCAGCACGGCCCUUACGUCCAGGGCUACACACGUGCUACAAUGGCCGGUACAAAGGGCAGCUACCUGGUGACAGGAUGCUAAUCUCAAAAGCCGGUCUCAGUUCGGAUCGGAGUCUGCAACCCGACUCCGUGAAGCUGGAAUCGCUAGUAAUCGCGCAUCAGCCAUGGCGCGGUGAAUACGUUCCCGGGCCUU